GUGCCAGCCGCCGCGGUAACACGUAGGAGGCAAACGUUAUCCGGAUUUACUGGGCGUAAAGCGCGUGUAGGUGGUUUGGUAAGUAGGGCGUGAAAGCUCCUGGCUCAACUGGGAGAGGACGUUCUAAACUACCAAGCUUGAGGAUGGUAGAGGGAGGUGGAAUUCCGGGUGUAGCGGUGGAAUGCGCAGAUAUCCGGAGGAACACCAGUGGCGAAGGCGGCCUCCUGGACCAUUCCUGACACUCAGACGCGAAAGCUAGGGUAGCAAACGGGAUUAGAGACCCCGGUAGUCCUAGCCCUAAACGAUGUAGACUUGGCGUCGGUGGUUUAAACGCCAUCGGUGUCGGAGCUAACGCGUUAAGUCUACCGCCUGGGGACUACGGCCGCAAGGUUAAA
rnacentral:rRNA from 1 species